AUUUAAAUAAGGAUUUACAAUUUGAAAUGUUGGGAGGAAGGUGGGGAUAAAUGGAGAAAUAUAUAUGGACUAAUUUGAGAGAUCGGAGCCUAUUAGCACAGUUUUAAUGUUGUAUUGGGCCAUGGGAGCCUGAGAGGCUGUAACCGAUGGGAACUUCCUGACUUGAAUAAGGGUUUUUUGCAUUGUGAGAGAGUUGUAAGGGAGGGUUGUUGGUUUUUUUGUUUGUUUUGGGUGGAGAGGGUUGAUCAGUAGAACAAGUAGCAUAUCAAGGAACGCAGAAGCCUGGAAAAUUAACCUGGGACCCUCCUCACCUUCUUUCCUUCUGUAGCUCUGUCAGGCACACUGGAAAUCUGUCCUGCCCAGAAAGUUCACCAACAGCCUUACGUUUCUUCUGAGCGUUUCUGAAACAUCACCCGUCGGGGCAAUGAGCAGGAAUGGAUGAAAUAGCGGCACUGUUUCUCCAGCUACUCUUCCACAGCACUCUGGGAAGGGGAUGCACAAAGACACGCGUGUCGAGGGGAGUCUUUCUGCAGCUGUUUUGGACCCAGGUGCCGUGCUUAUUUAAUUGAACGAUCUUUGCAUCUCCACGACGGCUCUCCCCGUGCUUACGUCUCAAGUCCCUGAUUCCAUUCUGCCGAUGCUGCCCUCUCCUCUGCAGAGACAUCGGGGGAGCUGGGCAGGUCUGACAAACUUGGUGUCCCGGUGCUUCUACUCACACACUUCUGACAUUUUGAAAGCAGUUAAUGAACGCCAUCCAAAUGUAUGUUUAUUUCACUGAGCGCUGCCAGGUGUACUGUUGCUGUCUAACCUGGCCCUGAUUAAUUACUCAUUUAUAUUACUUGAUUCUUCCUGUCAAGAAAAUAAUGGGGAGGGUGAAAUAAAAUGCAGCGUUUGUGUGCAAAGCUAUAGGGAGGCAAUUGUGUGAUUUCCACAGCAACAUGUUGAUGCUGGAGAGGAAAAUCAUAACCGAGGAUAGAACUGGGAGGUGCUACUGCGAUGCUGAUGACUCGCUCUGUGGCCUCAGCCACAUCGCUUAUUGCUCGCCUUGGUGUCUACAUCAGGGUGUAACACUUCAGCUAUGUGUCCUGGUGCAGUGGGAAUGAAUCAUUCAUUUGCGUGUGAUGUAUGGCAUAUCCUGGGUACCACAGCUAACGAAGAACAAAUGAGAUUAGUUGCUUAUGUUGCAGUACUGAAAGUUGAUGAGUAGUGUGUUCCAAAUUCAGAGACCAUUGCUUAUGUUGCUGUGUGCUAUCCUGGUUUAUUAUUGCAUAUACACGGGGCUCUCUGGUGCUGGGAGAACAAGGACUAAAGUGCUCGGUGUUUUAAGAUUUUAGUCACGGUGUUAUCAACUUUUUAGACUGUAUGUGUUGUCUAGGAUGAAAAGGGAGCAGAAUUUAAUGUACAACCAAGUGGUAACUUAAGCAUAGGAACCUCUGUUAAAUAUCACACUGAAUUUAAUUAAACCGAAAGGCUAAUACUCCUCUUGCAUUUCUUCAA